AUUGAACGCUGGCGGAAUGCUUUACACAUGCAAGUCGAACGGCAGCACGGGGCAACCUGGUGGCGAGUGGCGAACGGGUGAGUAAUACAUCGGAACGUGCCCAAUCGUGGGGGGAUAACGUAGCGAAAGUUACGCUAAUACCGCAUACGAUCUACGGAUGAAAGCGGGGGAUCGCAAGACCUCGCGCGAAUGGAGCGGCCGAUGUCAGAUUAGGUAGUUGGUGGGGUAAAGGCUCACCAAGCCAACGAUCUGUAGCUGGUCUGAGAGGACGACCAGCCACACUGGAACUGAGACACGGUCCAGACUCCUACGGGAGGCAGCAGUGGGGAAUUUUGGACAAUGGGCGCAAGCCUGAUCCAGCCAUUCCGCGUGCAGGAUGAAGGCCUU
rnacentral:rRNA from 1 species